rnacentral:piRNA from 1 species
UNCAAAAGGGCCUAGAUUUGGUCUCCGGC